rnacentral:rRNA from 1 species
GAUGAACGCUAGCGGCAGGCUUAACACAUGCAAGUCGAGGGGUAUAGUUCUUCGGAGCUAGAGACCGGCGCACGGGUGCGUAACGCGUAUGCAAUCUACCUUUUGCAGAGGGAUAGCCCAGAGAAAUUUGGAUUAAUACCUCAUAGUAUGUGAGAAUGGCAUCAUUUUCACAUUAAAGUCACAACGGCAAAAGAUGAGCAGGCGUCCCAUUAGCUGGUUGGUAAGGUAACGGCUUACCAAGGCAACGAUGGGUAGGGGUCAUGAGAGGGAGAUCCCCCACACUGGUACUGAGACACGGACCAGACUCCUACGGGAGGCAGCAGGGAGGAAUAUUGGACAAUGGGCGCAAGCCUGAUCCAGCCAUGCCGCGUGCAGGAUGACGGUCCUAUGGAUUGUAAACUGCUUUUGUACAGGAAGAAACACUGGUUCGUGAACCAGCUUGACGGUACUGUAAGAAUAAGGAUCGGCUAACUCCGUGCCAGCCGCCGCCGUAAGAC